rnacentral:rRNA from 1 species
UACGUAGGGCGCAAGCGUUAUCCGGAAUUAUUGGGCGUAAAGAGCUCGUGAGCGGUUUGUCGCGUCUGCCGUGAAAGUCCGGGGCUCAACUCCGGAUCUGCGGUGGGUACGGGCAGACUAGAGUGAUGUAGGGGAGACUGGAAUUCCUGGUGUAGCGGUGAAAUGCGCAGAUAUCAGGAGGAACACCGAUGGCGAAGGCAGGUCUCUGGGCAUUAACUGACGCUGAGGAGCGAAAGCAUGGGGAGCGAACAGG